GAUGAACGCUGGCGGCGUGCCUAAUACAUGCAAGUCGAGCGAACAGAUAAGGAGCUUGCUCCUUUGACGUUAGCGGCGGACGGGUGAGUAACACGUGGGUAACCUACCUAUAAGACUGGGAUAAUUUCGGGAAACCGGAGCUAAUACUGGAUAAUAUUUCGAACCGCAUGGUUCGAUAGUGAAAGAUGGUUUUGCUAUCACUUAUAGAUGGACCCGCGCCGUAUUAGCUAGUUGGUAAGGUAACGGCUUACCAAGGCGACGAUACGUAGCCGACCUGAGAGGAUGAUCGGCCACACUGGAACUGAGACACGGUCCAGACUCCUACGGGAGGCAGCAGUAGGGAAUCUUCCGCAAUGGGCGAAAGCCUGACGGAGCAACGCCGCGUGAGUGAUGAAGGUCUUCGGAUCGUAAAACUCUGUUAUUAGGGAAGAACAUACGUGUAAGUAACUGUGCACGUCUUGACGGUACCUAAUCAGAAAGCCACGGCUAACUACGUG
rnacentral:rRNA from 1 species